rnacentral:rRNA from 1 species
GACGUAGGGCGCGAGCGUUGUCCGGAUUUAUUGGGCGUAAAGAGCUCGUAGGCGGCUCAUUGCGUCAACCGUGAAAUCCUGCUGCUCAACGGCAGGUCUGCGGUUGAUACGGGUGGGCUGGAGUUCGGUAGGGGAGACUGGAAUUCCUGGUGUAGCGGUGGAAUGCGCAGAUAUCAGGAGGAACACCGGUGGCGAAGGCGGGUCUCUGGGCAGUAACUGACGCUGGAGGAGCGAAAGCGUGGGGAGCGAACAGG